CCCUCAUUACGGCUUGCCGAGUCUGUCAUUCCCUUGGGUACCCAUGGAAUUGUCUGCCAUGGUUUUACACCAAGCUCCCCUUACCUCAUCUGCCUUGAGAAAGUUUCUGUUCCUUGCAGCCAAUGACUCUGGUCUGUGACACAGAGAAGAUAUGAAUGCAGAAUCAACAGCCUGAUGCUGGCCAGGGCAUAUGCAGGGUUAGGAUGGGGCGAAGGCAGGGCUGGUGUCCAGAUUUCUGGCCCAGGUGUGACAGCAACGUCAUUUGUCAGAAGAAAUAUUCAGGAAGAAGCUAUCGAGUGUGCUCUCAGGUGUAAUAAGUUCGAGCAGCCUCCAGGGGGCAGAUGGCACACCUCGAGCUGAGGGGCCCUGGGUGUGGGAAUGAGUUCUGGAAGGCUCCAGUAAGCAUUGCUAGUGAAGCUGGGGGACCUGCAGGGAGAAGAAAAGUUAAGCAUGGAGCCCCAAAGAAUGUUUCAGCUGCAGGCAAAAGAAGAGAAGCCAGGAACAAAGAACAGCCAGGAAUCAACUAAGACAAACAAGGGAGAAGGAAGCCAAUAGACACCAUGAAAGAGCUCAUCUGGAAGCCUCCUUACACACCCCUCUGCCACCUGGUGGCAUCGCCUUUUCUCUUGGAUUCCUGGGGUGUCCGCUGAUGUUGCUGUCAAAAAGCAUCGAACUCUUCCCUCCCGCGACGCAGCGUGUCCGGCUGCCUCGGAUAUUCCCAGACCAGUCCAGCUGCCCAGCUCUUUACUCUCUGAUUCUUCCCUGCUCUUUCUUCCAAGUCAGAGAGGGAUACUGGCUUGUUAUCUUUGGACCCCCAGUACAAGGAAAGAAAGAGACAAAAGUAAUAAAACCACAAAUAGGAAGACCAAGCUGGAGCUCGCCCAUCUAACAGAUGUUCCCAUGCCAGCAUCAACCUGGCUUCUCCCACGGCCAGACGGAAAUCGGUCUUUACUUUCCACAUGGACAGGAAGGUAAAUAUUCAGAUAAUAUGCAGAAGAAAGGUUUAGCUGUGAUAUGAGUUGUGGCUCAGGGAGCCUGGAAACAACUGGUUGUUGAAGCAGGGAGUGUUGAAAUAACAUGUUGUUUUACAGUUCUUCACUGGGAGACUAAUAUUUCAACACAUUUGAAUGACUUCCUUGCAGAAAAAUGCUUAGGCUUAAAACAUGAAGCUGGAUAAGUAACAGGAGCUUCCAAGAGAAAAAUCACUCAACUUAGAUAUAUUCCAUGGCCAAGAAAUUCAGCGUCUGUAGUUAGAAAUGUUUCCAGCAAGCCCACCUCAUGUUGUCUGUUCUCAAAGGGGAUGACUUUGGAUUGGACCUACUUUUCAAAUAAAACUGUUAGGAGAGUAAGAGACA
rnacentral:lncRNA from 1 species